rnacentral:rRNA from 1 species
ACGAACGCUGGCGGCGUGCCUAAUACAUGCAAGUAGAACGCUGAAGGAGGAGCUUGCUUCUCUGGAUGAGUUGCGAACGGGUGAGUAACGCGUAGGUAACCUGCCUGGUAGCGGGGGAUAACUAUUGGAAACGAUAGCUAAUACCGCAUAAGAGUAGAUGUUGCAUGACAUUUGCUUAAAAGGUGCAAUUGCAUCACUACCAGAUGGACCUGCGUUGUAUUAGCUAGUUGGUGAGGUAACGGCUCACCAAGGCAACGAUACAUAGCCGACCUGAGAGGGUGAUCGGCCACACUGGGACUGAGACACGGCCCAGACUCCUACGGGAGGCAGCAGUAGGGAAUCUUCGGCAAUGGACGGAAGUCUGACCGAGCAACGCCGCGUGAGUGAAGAAGGGUUUCGGAUCGUAAAGCUCUGUUGUAAGAGAAGAACGAGUGUGAGAGUGGAAAGUUCACACUGUGACGGUAUCUUACCAGAAAGGGACGGCUAACUACGUG